GCUACUUACCAGCAGCACUCUGGUCUGAAGGGCCCGGGGUUCGGCCUCUGGACAUGACAGCCUGUGAGGAAGUGAAACAGACUAAGCAUAGAGAUGAAAAAAAGACAACUCUUAGUAGAGCUGUUCCCCAGGCCGGGCUACUUUGCAGAGGAGAGCUCAGGCCCAGGAGCUGUAAAGCCCAUGUUACCUGUGUUGGCGGGAUCAAGGGCAGCACAAAGACGUGGUCCUCUGGCAAUGCCUGAGGACUUCUCAUUCCUGGCCCUGCCUCCGUCUCCACAUGGGAGAAAGCGUGUUGUACAGCAGAACUAGAAGGAAGCGCUCACCUUCCAGAACCACUAAGUGCUCUAUUAUUCAUGCGCCACAUCAGCCUGGAGAGACACAAAAAGCUGUCCUAUAUCUUGGGUGAAAUACUAUCGUUACCGAGACAGAAUCAGGGGACUUGGUUUCACAGUGUAUGAAAAAGUGUAGAAAUAGAAAUAGAAACCCCUGAACAAAUGAUUUCAUCUCAAAAUAAAUUUCAUAUACUCCUCCUCCUCCAAAUAAAUAAUAAUAAUAACAUAAUCAAAAUACAACCAAUGUUACACAUGAGAAAGAUGGCGUUAUUCUUAUGCAUGUCUCAUUGGUAAGAUUUGCUGUAGUUUCACAGAAAAGAACUUUAAUAUAAAAUCCUUCUGAUAGCAUAUUAGGUUUUUAAAUACCAUACAAAAUUUAGCAUUUGAGUAUGCUCAUAUGUGUUAAAAAUAAGUUCACUUGACUCAGAAGUCAUUUACUUAUGUGUAAUGCAUGGGAAAGAGCUUAAUGAUGGUAACAGGGCUGCUGUUUUCAACAGCUGUGACAACAGAGUCAUAAGCUGAUUUUAUUUGGUCUGUGUGACCAUCUAGAUGUAGAAAGAUUCCACCCCAACUUGGGGAAAAUUGUAUGGCUGGCUAUUCAAAAUGAAGGGAAACACAUUUUUUUUUAAAAGGAUGUUAAUAAUAGUGCAAAUGCCUUUUCUAUCUGAAUUUUGAAAAGCAGAAUAAAAAUGAAACUCACUAGAGGUAUUUGUGGAAAAUUUAGAUGUUAAAAACCUGACUUAAUUGACUGAAAAACAAAGACUGCUGAAGUGACUAUGACUCAAGUUGGGGGUUAUUUUAAUUAAGAAAGAGCUAGCAGUCCUAAUGAUUUGAAGGAAACCAUGUAAUUCUCUGCCCUUGAACGGGGCUAAUAUGGCUAACUGCCAACAGUUGUGCCUUACUGCAAAUGGGCAUUUUAAGCUAUACUUCACCACAAGGAUUGUAAGGCUCAAUUGAGUCUAUCGCAGUUUGGUUGUAUUUUUCUUGGUUGCCAAAGAAGCCGAUCACAGAGUCCUCAAAUCAGUAGUUAGAGGUCAAUUUGAUAUGAAUGCUAAAAUUAUCUGGGCUAACCGUAUUGCAUCCCAAUUAUUUUGAUAAUUGGACUUGGGUGGAUUUUGUGUUGAUAGAAACAACUGUGCUCCAAUUACCCUGAAAAUCGUUGAUCUCAGAAGCUGUACAGACAUGUGUAUUCUCGUCUUGCUAAUCACACUAAAGGAUCAAGAGAAUUACUGAGUUGGAGCUUGUCAACUCCAAGGUUCUGAAUGAUACAGCUGUCUUUUUCUCUAGAUUCCCAACUCUCAGCCGAAAAAUCAAUUAAACAUAUUUCCUAGAAAACUGUUCUGGGGAGUUCCCAUCAUGGCUCAGCAGUAA